rnacentral:tRNA from 1 species
GGGGCUGUAGCUCAGUGGUAAAGCACUUGCCUUGAAUGUAUGAGAGAUUGAGUUCGAUCCUCAGCACCACA